UAWGUUGAAGCCCGCUGGAUAGGGCGUCUAGUUGUUAAUUAGAGUUUUGUAGGAUCGAGGCCUGCUGGCUUAUA
rnacentral:tRNA from 1 species